rnacentral:rRNA from 1 species
AGUGAACACUGGCGGUAGGCCUAACACAUGCAAGUCGAACGGCAGCACAGGAGAGCUUGCUCUCUGGGUGGCGAGUGGCGGACGGAUGAGGAAUACAUCGGAAUCUACUCUGUCGUGGGGGAUAACGUAGGGAAACUUACGCUAAUACCGCAUACGACCUACGGGUGAAAGCAGGGGAUCUUCGGACCUUGCGCGAGUGAAUGAGCCGAUGUCGGAUUAGCUAGUUGGCGGGGUAAAGGCCCACCAAGGCGACGAUCCGUAGCUGGUCUGAGAGGAUGAUCAGCCACACUGGAACUGAGACACGGUCCAGACUCCUACGGGAGGCAGCAGUGGGGAAUAUCGGACAAUGGGCGCAAGCCUGAUCCAGCCAUACCGCGUGGGUGAAGAAGGCCUUCGGGUUGUAAAGCCCUUUUGUUGGGAAAGAAAUCCAGCUGGCUAAUACCCGGUUGGGAUGACGGUACCCAAAGAAUAAGCACCGGCUAACUUCGUGCCAGCAGCCGCCGUAA